UACGUAGGGUGCAAGCGUUGUCCGGAAUUAUUGGGCGUAAAGAGCUCGUAGGCGGUUUGUCGCGUCUGCUGUGAAAACCCGAGGCUCAACCUCGGGCCUGCAGUGGGUACGGGCAAACUAGAGUGCGGUAGGGGAGAAUGGAAUUCCUGGUGUAGCGGUGGAAUGCGCAGAUAUCAGGAGGAACACCGAUGGCGAAAGCAGGUACCUGGACCAUUACUGACACUCAGCUGCGAAAGCUAGGGGAGCAAACAGG
rnacentral:rRNA from 1 species